AGCAGUCUUAGUAAGAGAAGAGUAGGAAAGAAACACGCUUAGCAGCAUGUUAGAAACUAGUUUCUCGUGCCCUCCUUGGACUCAGAAUACAAUACCAGAGAACAAUCAGAUAAGGCAGGAAAAGUUAGAAGUUUGGGGAAAUAGAGCUUCCGUAGGCAACUGUGAGGAAUCAGGAACAGGCUGGGAGCAGGCACUGCCCACCUGUCCUACCCCGAGAGCACCAGGAUAGGACUCCACACAGGAGGACCGGACCUCGAUGAUGAGCUCACCCUCGCUCUUAACAAGCACUGGCUCUCUACAGAUGUCACUUCCUUUAAGGAUGAGUAAAUAAGGGAGGAAAAACUCUAUGGGGCGGGGCGGGGUCUGGGAGGUAGUUUUUUGUAAAGCUACAGAAAAUAGGAAAGAGACUUCAUCUCAAUGAUUUAGAAGACUUUAGAAGACUCUAAAAAUAAUCUACAGGAGGACCCAAGAGAUCCAACACGCUGGACUCCUCUAUAGGAUAUCAAAAGGAACUCCGGGUGAGGACGACAAGAGCUGAGCUCGGGUGCUUGCCUUCUGCACUCUCGGGAGGAGGCACCAGCAUGGGCACCCUUCACAGUUCGGGCCCCUCACUCACAAACGUCUGGCACAUGGAAACAAGCUGGCAAAAAGAUUGUUUUUUUCUUCUGUACUUUUUGUUAUAAGCCUGUGGUGAAGUGUCCAUAUCUGGCAUAAAUGAAUGUGAGUGGUCUUGGGAAUCUAAAUAUAACAUGUUUCUAAGUUA